rfam:Acetivibrio ethanolgignens strain ACET-33324 ACET-33324.Scaf45, whole genome shotgun sequence.
AUACGGAGAAGGGCUGAUAAUUCUUAAAAAUGCAUAGCCUACAGAGGCAAAAAACAUGGAUGUUUUUUGAGCGGACUUGAGACAGGAGGUCGAAUGUCCGCGUACUCGUCACUUGCAGUAAAUUAUAUGCAUUUUUUUAGAAUUAUCGCCCUUCGUAGUCC